UUUUAGUGAGAAAUAUAAUUUUAUUAUUGAGAUAGAAUUUCAAGUAAUUGACACAAAAGUCAAAGUUCAAAGCAAAAUUUAAGAAAAUUGGUUUAGUAACAAAAAAAAAAUUUGUAGGCAAUUGUAAUUAACACAAAAAGUCAAAGUAAAAGAAUUGGUUUGGAAGAGAAAAAAUAAAUUAAAGUCUAAAGUAGCGAAAUUUUACAGUUAUUCAGUGUGAUCCAGUUAUAUUGGGAAUAAUGUCUGUGUUUAACCCUCAGGCGGGAACGUUCUCUUUCGGAAUGGGAGCGGUUGAUCUUCUUGUUAUUCUUCUGGUUGUCAUUUUGCUGUUAUGUUAUUGAUAGGUAUCUUUCAGUUUUAUUGCAUGUUAUAGAAUUCCAAAUUGUCGACUUAGUCGGAGACUGAAGUACAAGAGUGCAACGCUGAAGGUUCACUACGUCUUCAUAAAAAGGUUUCUGCUAAGAUUGUUCCUAACGUCUACUCAGUGAUGUUUAUCAGUAGGGAAAGAUCGAGUAAUUUUGACCACAUGGUUAGUGGGUUGGUUGUAAUAGUUUGGUAAAACUCCCGUGAAUUAAAAUAUUAUUAAAGAGUAGGCCUAAAAGUUAUUAAACGAAGUAAAAUUGAAUUUAAAUAUUAUUGAAUAUUGGGCAGAGAUCCCGUUGUUGAAAAUUAUUGGCGAGCAUUGAGCCGUCUAAAAAAGGGAGUAUGUAGUUUAUUGAAGAUGUUGUUCUUCUGUUGUUGAAUCUUUCCUAUUAUGUUAUUCUGUUGCUAGGGUUUAAGGACGUCUCUUUGUGUUGUAUUGAGUUCUCAAAUUUCAUCUUUUCUAUAGAGAUUUAUUUAAAGCAAAUUUAACAGUUAAAUGACAAUUAAGUAAAUUGCAUGCAUAUAACAGUGUUCGAAGUGAAUUAAAUAAAACGGUAAAUUUACGGUAAAUAUGAAUUAAAAUUGUGUAUGUUAUUAAAGUUAUUUUUAAAUAGAGGAUUAUAAGCAAGUAAGUAAAAUUAAAGAUUAAGCAAAAUAUAAGUAAAGUCAAGCGGUAAAAUUUUAAGUAGAUCUAAGCAUUUGGAAUUGUAACAUAAGUUAAAAGUUAAAAUGAAUAAAAAUAUUAAAUAGCCAAAUAAGUAUAGCAGUAAACAUAUUUAGUCUGUCUGUCAUUGGCUUGAGCGCAACACAUCUGAUACAACUAUAAGCAUUUGGCAUUUGCUUGAAUGUGUCACUUGAAAGGUCGCGAUGUCAAUGGAUUACAAAUCUAUUAAUUCCCAUGAUACAUAUGGAUAUUUUACAAGAUCAAGACGGAACAUUUUACAGACAUUACAGCUUUAUGUUGUAUAAUUCGAAGCUAUUAUCAAGAUUUCAUUUUAUACUACAAGUCUAGUUCGAUACAUUACAAGAUGCUGAGUGUAACUGGAUGCUCGUUUAAAUUUGGAUUGCGCAAGUUAUGGUGAUAACUGGAUUUAUAAUUGCAUGGACACGUCAAACUGUUCUGAAUUGUGAAUAAUAACGUUACUAACGAGGACGCUCGAAAGUUCUUGCGAACUUUCUUUCUUCAAGGAGGAGGGUGUUACUUGAUAGCAAUUAUCAUGUAUAUUUUAUAACAUUUUAUAUUAUACAUUAAUACAUUUUACUAUAUUUAUAUAUUAUAUAUCAUAGUUUAGUUAUAUUAUACUUACUCUAAAGAAUUUACCUAUGAGAAAUUGUUUUACGCAUAGGAAGUUCUUUUAGCUUAGUCAUGCAUGAUCAAGCAAAUAUUUAGUUACCACAAGUGCGUACGCGUGAUGGACGGGAACGGUUACCGCAAGAAGAUCGUAAGAAUCUUCCCAAGUAAUGACACUGCAAGUUUAAAAGUUCCUCUCUGAACAGUAGACGGUUUUAGAUAACAAGACGUGGACGUCAAGAGGACGUGGAUGUCGUAAUUUGGCGUCAACUAUCGUCAGCUUCUGGUUUGCGACGUCGUCUUGGACAAUUUCACGACGCGAAAAUACAAUUUUCACGUCCUCUCUAGAACGUCAUAGAUUUUUGCUUCUUUUGAAAAAAAUAUGAGACUAUAUAUAAUAAAAAUCAUCCUAUUUUGUUCCCCAUGUAUUGUUUAAUGAUACUAGCUAAAGAUUUUCCAUUGACAAGGUUGGUUUUUUUUGUAUUUUGCUAAAUUUUAGACGAGUUGAUUUUCGACAAACUCACCAUAAACAAAUCAACAAAACUGCGAACAUUGUUAAUAACCACCUCAAUACCGCUAGUAAUCUUCACCAAAACAAAUAUUUUAGAACAAACUAAACUGAAGUUAUAUUGACAACAGUUUAAAAUCAGUAAAACGUGGGAAAAUAGAAAAAUAAAAGCACUUAAAAGCAGUAAAAACUCGAUCAAUUUUAGUUGCUCUGUCACAACAGUGCAAAAAGUAGGACAUGCAAAAAGAACGCUUUCCAGCGUGAAAAACUAUCGUAAACAGUAUUAAAUUUUACCACUAUAAACACUGAUGCUAUGUUUAUACUGAACAGUAGACAAACUUGAUUGAAUAGCUAGGCUACAAUAAAGCAUUUUAAUAGCUCGUAAACAAUACCUGUAUUUAUUCCAAAUGAUGCAACAAAGUUCACUUUUCAAACUACAGAAAUAUACGUUUUUUCCAAAAAAAACUUAUUGAAUGUUCAUACUAAUUCGUCAGGAAACACUUGGCCAGUAUUAUAUAACCUUUUAUUGCACAUAUCUUGACAACUGAUUGAAAACAAUACAGGAAUGAACAGGUAACAAGAAAACAAAAAUUUGCUUUGAAAAAGACAAACAAGCCGUCCCAGAUUAAAACCCGGAAGUGAACGCGAGCUGCAUACGUCAUUUUCACGUCCUCUUGACGUCCGCGUCUUGUUAUCUAAAACCGUCUAGUAUAUAAGGGAGAGCACAACUCUAAUACAUUCAUUCAUAGGCCUCCGUGCCUCACAUGAUUCAUUCAUAGGCCUCCGUGCCUUACAUGAUUCAUAGAUAGGCCUUCGCGCCUUACAUGAUUCAUUCAAUAGGCCUCAGCGCCUCAGUUACAUUAUUCAUAGGCCUCAGCGCCUUACGUGAAUAUCAUUUUGGAAAAGCUAUUAUAAAGAAGAUUGUUAAAGAAAGAUUGUUACAAGUUAUAUACGAAAGAGUAUUGAAGUUAAAAAGCGACGUUACGUGAAGAAGACGAAAGAGUUGUGCUCAGUCAGACAGAAAAGAGAUAAGUUGAACUGAUAUAGUUUUAAUUAUAUAGUAAUUGGAUAUAGUAUUAUAAAGACGUUUUAAAGAAAUAAAUAGUUAUAUAAACGUAACUGACUCACACUGAUUCUUUGUUGCGAGAGAAAUCGAACCAAAACGCGGGAAAUAUUAAUAUUAAGGACCACGCUCGUAACAUCA
rnacentral:lncRNA from 1 species